GAUGAACGCUGGCUACAGGCUUAACACAUGCAAGUCGAGGGGAAACGACGGGGAAGCUUGCUUCCCCGGGCGUCGACCGGCGCACGGGUGAGUAACGCGUAUCCAACCUGCCUCUGACUGAGGGAUAACCCGUCGAAAGUCGGCCUAAUACCUCAUGGUAUCGUCUGCGGGCAUCCAACGACGAUUAAAGAUUUCAUCGGUCAGGGAUGGGGAUGCGUCUGAUUAGCUUGUUGGCGGGGUAACGGCCCACCAAGGCUACGAUCAGUAGGGGUUCUGAGAGGAAGGUCCCCCACAUUGGAACUGAGACACGGUCCAAACUCCUACGGGAGGCAGCAGUGAGGAAUAUUGGUCAAUGGGCGAGAGCCUGAACCAGCCAAGUAGCGUGCAGGAAGGCGGCCCUAUGGGUUGUAAACUGCUUUUAUGCGGGGAUAAAGUGAGGGACGUGUCCCUCAUUGCAGGUACCGCAUGAAUGAGGACCGGCUAAUUCCGUGCCAGCAGCCGCGGUAAUACGGAAGGUCCUGGCGUUAUCCGGAUUUAUUGGGUUUAAAGGGAGCGUAGGCCGUGGAUUAAGCGUGUUGUGAAAUGCAGGUGCUCAACGUCUGCACUGCAGCGCGAACUGGUCCACUUGAGUGUGCGCAACGCAGGCGGAAUUCGUCGUGUAGCGGUGAAAUGCUUAGAUAUGACGAAAACUUCCGAUUGCGAAGGCAGCUUGCGGGAGCACAACUGACGCUAAACUCGAAAUGCGGGAUCGAACAUGAAUAGAUACCUGGUGUCCAAGGUAAAUUCAAAAUGGAUCUCAAGCUUAUGAUCCGUCGACGGUUGGGCGUGUGUUUUUUCCCUAUUUUGCCCCCGCAAAGAGGUUAAUUAGU
rnacentral:rRNA from 1 species